rnacentral:lncRNA from 1 species
GUAAGCUAAGGCCAACCUACACUUCUGUAUCAGAUUGCCUUCUUUCCUUGUGCUAGCAAGGAUAUCACUUUCCCCUUUCUAAAGAAAUAUCCCCAGCAGGAGGUUAGCAUGCUUUCAUUUUCCCAUCUUUCAAGAUCUCUCUUUGGGUUCCACUUUUUAUAUUGAUAUUGCCCAAUUUGUGCCAUUUUUCCAGAAAAAAAAGGCUGAUUUAUAAUUCUUGUUUUCAGUCUCUCUCCUUGCAUUCUCUCUUGAGCACACACCUAUCAGGAUUUUGCCCCCAAUUUCCUAAUAGUAUUACUCCUCCUAAGUCAUAAAUUACCUGAAUGUGACACGUAAUGAUCCUCAUCUGACUUGAACUAUUCACAGCAUUUUUCAGAGCUGAGGAUUCCCUCCGCUGGCAAUACUUUCCAGGACACUAUUCUUUGUGGUUUGUCUUGUAACUUUCACUGACCUCUCCAUUUACAUGUCAUUUACUAAUUUUUUUUUUUUUUUUACAUUUCUUAGGCUUCUUAAUUGAAGCAUUUCAGUAUUCAACUUUUACGUGUAUGUGUAUGGACCUCGUCUAGUCUCAUGUCUUAAAAUACGAUCUCUAUAUUGAUAAUUUCAAAAUUUGUAUCUGUGGCCAAAGCCUUACUCCUGAACUUUAGAUUUAUCUCGUCACCUCACCAGUUCCCUGUAUAUCUGUAAUAGGUAUCUCAUACUUAACAUUUUCUGAACAGAUAUCCUCAUCUUCCUUUCUCAGACCUCUCCUGGAGUAUCCCUACUUUAGGAAAGGCAAUUCUAUCCUUCCAGUUGUACAUACACAUGCAAAAUAUUGAAAUAAUUCCUAUUCCUCUGUUGGUCAUGCUCAUAUCAGGCUCGAAUUUCAAAUCAUACCCAGAAUCUGACUACUUUUCAACACCUCCACAAGUUUUACCCUGGUCUGAAUUAUUGCAAUACGCUCAAACUUGUACCUCAGCUUGUCUCCUGACCACUCACAGCCCCGCUUCCCCAACCUCAUUCCCCUGUGUAAAUCUGAAAACAGCAGUCAGGGUCAUCCUGUGAAAACAAGUCAUAUGAUGUCACUGCUUUGCUCAGAUGCCCACCCCCUCCCCACCAGUGGCUACCCACAUCGCCCAGCAUAAAAUCUAAAGAACAACCUGAAGGCCCUAUAAAGUAUACCUCCAAUACUAAGCAUCUUUGAUCCUGUUGUUCUUUCUGUCUGAAAUGUACUUUCCCAACAACUGCAUACUCCCUCACCAUGUUCUAGUACCCACAAAAAAUGACACUUUCUCAGUGAGGACUUCUGUGACCAUUUUUUUUUAUUACUCCCUCUGACACUCAAUAUACCUUUUUUGCUACUUAAAUUUUCUCAUUAUUCAUCAGUCUAUGAUUUUCGCUCACAUAUUUUGUUUGUUACCCUUCAUUUGCCUCAGCAGCUAUAAAUUUAAACUACUGAGUAAGCUCUAGAAGUGCAAGGAUGCGUUUUUCUCUUUUUUGUUCAUUGCUGUAUCCUCUGUGUCUAGAAUAAUAUCUAUUCCCUAGCAGAUACACAAUAAAUAUUUUAAAAGGAAUGUAUAAAUGAAAUUUCCAUUUUAAACAACGUAUAGCAACUAAGUGAUGUUGAAACCAAGAUUUUAUCUGGAAUAGUAUUUAAAAUGGUAAGGAAGUUGGCUGUAAUUGUAUAAUGACACAGUUACCCAGUCAUCAAUGGUCAUGAUAUUAAAAAGUUGAAAACAGUCAAUUCAUUUUGCUUAGAGAGUCGGACAUAACACUGAUGCAUACCACGUUAAGAAAUUCUCCAAGAAAAUCCUAUUCAAAAUCUUCCAAUGGCUUCCUAGCUCACUUAAAAUAAAUACCCUAGUCCUUUCUACAUCCCACAAGAAUCUACAGAAUCUUUUCCCUGGUUAUCCCUCUGAUAAUAUUUUCUACAAAUAUUUCCUACUCAGCCAUUACUAUACAGCAACAGGCUUCCUUGAUAUUCCAUAAACAUUUCAUUUAUAUACCUGCCUCAAGUCCUUGUCACUUCUUUUUCCUUCUAGAAGGACGAUUUUGCCUCCAGAUGUCCAUUUUUCAUUUCAAUUAUUUUUCUGCUUAACCAUUGCUGCCUUGCAGAUGCUUUCCCUGACCUAUAUAAAAAUGUAACACUUGUAAUUCUUUAAUGUCUCGCCCUAUUGCCUACUCCAUAUCUCUUAAAAUUACAUGAUUUUAUAAAAUAUGUUUGUAUAUUGUCUUUUCCCCAGUAAAUAUAAGCCACAAAAUGGCAGGAACUUCAUCUUUUUUGUUCCAUCAUUUUCUGGUAUAGUGCUUGUUAUAUUAUUGAAACAAUAGACAUUUUGAAUCAAUGAGUCAAUUAUGCCAGCUGUAUGGAUCCUGAACAUGUCUGACACACGGAAAGAUUAGCAUCUCUCCUUGCUUCUUAUACUUUAAUACUUUAGCCAUGUGGUCUUCAAUGUGAGACAUGCAUUCUCUCACAGAAAUGAGAAGGCUUUCCAAAGGAUAUGCAAGUACAGAUAAAGUUUUAGAAAAAAAUUAACAAUUUCAUGGAAGAACAAUUUAUAUGCAGUAAAAUGCACAUACAUAAUGUAUAUCAUUAAAUGAAUUUUGACAUAUGCAUUCAGCCAUGAAACAAAGAUACUGAAGAUAAUGGUCAUCCCAGAAGUUUUCUUCUGUCCCUUCCUACCACUGCCCACCUCAGACCCUAUCACUGAACUGCUUUUGUCGCUAUAGAUUAAUUUACAUUUUAAAGAAUUUUAUAUUAAGAUACGUCAAACAAUAGGUACUCCUUUCUACUUGACUCAACUUAAUUACUUUCAGGUUCAACCAUAUUGUCGUAGAUAUGAUACUUAUUCCCUUCAAUGCCGAUUAGUAUUUUUUUUUUUAGUUUGUUUUUGAGAUGGAGUCUCGCUCUCACCCAGGCUGGAGUGAAGUGGCAUGAUCUCCGCUCACUGCAAGCUCCACCUCCCGGGUUCACACCAUUUUCCUACCUCAGCCUCCCGAGUAGCUGAGACUACAGGUGCCCACUACCACACCCGGCUAAUUUUUUGUAUUUUUAGUAGAGACAGGGUUUCACUGUGUUAGCCAGGAUGGACUUGACCUCCAGACCUCGUGAUCUGCCCGCCUUGGCCUCCCAAAGUGCUGGGAUUACCGGCGAGAGCCACCGCACCUGGCCAGUUUUGCCCAGUUUUAAUCGGUUAUAGCUCCAAUCUGUGCAAUGCACUUUGAAAAUGGAGAAAGGGAACACGUCAAGGAAUACAGGAAGCCACUAGAAGCUGGAAAAAAACCAGGAGACAGAUUCUCCUCCCAGAUCAUCCAGAAGGAACCAACCCUGCUAAAACCUUGACUUUAGCUCAGUACAAAGGAUUUCAGACUUACAGCCUCCAUAAGGAUCGAUCAGUUACUUGUUAAGGCCCUAAGGAAAUGAACAAAAGAGGGGUGCAUUUUGAUGACUGACUACAUAGGAUGCUGGUUGAGAGAAACAGGCCCUAGAUGUACCGUAAACCACCAAGAAAAACAAAGGGGACUUAUUUCCCAAAAGUCCGGAACCCACAGUGGGAGACUCUCCCUAAAAAUGCUGAACCCAGAUGUCCUUGAUGAAGAUUACUCCACUGGGCUUCAUCUUGGCUCAGGGUGCAUACAAUAAAACAAUGCUUCUUAAUUGUGUUCUGCCAAACAUUCGAUCCAUGGGCAAUUCUUGGGUGUUAACCCAAAGAAAUUGGUUCUGUGGUCGAAUAAAUUCAGAAAACACUAAAUGAAACAACAAAAAUAAAUAAAGAGGGAUUCUUUUAACAGAGCUUCUCAGAGGUUUUAAUAAAGCCAUGUGUGUUGUGAAUUUCUAACAGGGAUGUAUGAUAUAUCUUCUGAAUAUUUUACUACAGAACUUGCUCUUUUGUGGAAAAGAGAUGAGAUUAAUAUCCUGCAGAAAUUAUUUUAUUAAAAAACUCAUAGAGGGCAGCAGAAUAACUUUUGCAUAGUAGAAUAACUUUGGCUCUGGGCAAACGAAUGAAAAUAAUUUCUCAUGUAAAAAUGCCG